AGAGCGAACGCUGGCGGCAGGCCUAACACAUGCAAGUCGAGCGCGUGUAGCAAUACACGAGCGGCAGACGGGAGAGUAACACGUGGGAACGCGCCCUUCGGUUCGGAAUAACUCAGGGAAACUUGAGCUAAUACCGGAUACGCCCUUACGGGGAAAGAUUUAUUGCCGAAGGAACGGCCCGCGUCCGAUUAGCUAGUUGGUGAGGUAACGGCUCACCAAGGCGACGAUCGGUAGCUGGUCUGAGAGGAUGACCAGCCUCACUGGGACUGAGACACGGCCCAGACUCCUACGGGAGGCAGCAGUGGGGAAUAUUGGACAAUGGGCGCAAGCCUGAUCCAGCCAUGCCGCGUGGAUGAUGAAGGCCUUAGGGUUGUAAAGUCCGUUUAACGGGGAAGAUAAUGACGGUACCCGUAGAAUAAGCCCCGGCUAACUUCGCGCCAGCAGCCGC
rnacentral:rRNA from 1 species